rnacentral:rRNA from 1 species
GUUCGUUUUUAUGAGCGUUCGGUGGAUGCCUUGGCAUCGGGGGCCGAUGAAGGACGCGGUGGCCUGCGAUAUUCCUCGGGGAGCCGGCUUGCGGGCUGUGAUCCGAGGGUUUCCGAAUGGGGGGACCCGGCGCCCGUUGUGGGGCGUCACCCGCGUCUGAAUGUCAUAGGGCGCGGGGGGUGACGCGGGGAAGUGAAACAUCUCAGUACCCGCAGGAGUGGAUAUUCCGUGAGUAGUGGCGAGCGGAAGCGGAUGAUGGUUAAACCGUGCGCGUGCGAUCACCCGGCGGGGGUUGCGGGCGCGGUGUUGUUUGGGGCGCGUUCUUCCCGUCGCCGCCGCGGCGGGGCGCAGUGCAUUGAACCGGUCGGGUAGCCGAAUCCCCUGGGAUGGGGGGCCGCAGCGGGUGACAGCCCCGUAGGCGGAACCCGGCGGGCUGCGCGGGCGCGGCCCCCAGUAGCACGGGGCCCGUGGAAUCCUGUGUGAAUCUGCCGAGACCACUCGGCCGCCUGAAUACCUCCCGAUGACCGAUAGCGGACGAGUACCGUGAGGGAAUGGUGAAAAGUACCCCGGGAGGGGAGUGAAACAGUACCUGAAACCGGGCGCUCACGAGCCGUCAGAGCCCCUUGUGCGCAUCCUCGGGCCGUGUGUCCGGGGGGCGGGGGGUGAUGGCGUGCCUAUUGAAGAAUGAGCCUGCGAGUCGCCGCCGCGUCGCGAGGUUAACCCGUGUGGGGGAGCCGUAGCGACAGCGAGUCCGAAUGGGGCGCCCAGUGGCGCGGCGCGGACCCGAAGCGGGGUGAUCUACCCAUGGCCAGGUUGAAGCACGUGUAAGAGCGUGUGGAGGACCGCACCCGCCUCAGUUGAAAAUGGGGGGGAUGAGCUGUGGGUAGGGGUGAAAGGCCAAUCAAACCCCGUGAUAGCUGGUUCUCCCCGAAAUGCAUUUGGGUGCAGCGUCCCGUGCUCCCCGGCGGAGGUAGAGCUACCGGUUGGCUGAUGGGCCCCACAGGGUUACUGGCGUCAGCCGAACUCCGAAUGCCGUCGGGCGGUGAGCGGGGCAGUGAGACCGCGGGGGAUAAGCUUCGCGGUCGAGAGGGGAACAGCCCGGAUCGCCGGCUAAGGCCCCCAAGCGCGCGCUAAGUGGGAAAGGAUGUGCGGUCGCGGUGACAACCAGGAGGUUGGCUUAGAAGCAGCCAUCCUUGAAAGAGUGCGUAAUAGCUCACUGGUCAAGUGGUCGUGCGCCGACAAUUGAGCGGGGCUCAAGCGCGCCGCCGAAGCCGCGGAUCCGCCGCGAUGGGCUCUGCCGCCCCCUGUGGGGGGGUGGUGGGGCGCGGCGGGUGGUAGGGGAGCGUCCCGCGCGGGGUGAAGCCGUCGGGUGACCGGGGGUGGACGGCGCGGGAGUGAGAAUGCAGGCAUGAGUAGCGAUACUGGGGUGGGAGUCCCCAGCGCCGUAUGACCAAGGGUUCCAGGGCCAGGCUGGUCCGCCCUGGGUGAGUCGGGACCUAAGGCGAGGCCGACGGGCGUAGUCGAUGGAUGACGGGUUGAUAUUCCCGUACCGGACCGGAUACCGACCGUGCCGACGCGCGGGUGCUGACCCACGCCCCGCGCCGCCCGUGUACGCCUCCGCGUCCCGGUCUUCGGGCCGGGCGGGGGCGGGGCGGCGGGGGUCUGGGGACCCUCCGCGCAGGUAGGCAAGCGUAUUAACAGGGGUGACGCGCAGUGGUGGCCCCGCGGGUCUGAUGGCUCGGCCCGUUCAAGCGCGCGGCCCGCCGCCCAGGCAAAUCCGGGCGGCUGCCUUCAAUGGCGGGGGUGAGGCGCGAUGGUGACCCGGCCCGGUGGGGUCGGGGAAGUAGGGUGAUCCUGUGGCGCCGAGAAAAGCCUCGACGCGAGGGGCCGGUCCGCCCGUACCCCAAACCGACACAGGUGGUCGGGCAGAGCAUGCCCAGGCGCACGGGCGAACCGUGGUGAAGGAACUCGGCAAAACGCCCCCGUAACUUCGGGAGAAGGGGGGCCCGAACCCUGAAACGGCUGGCCCGUUGGGGGUGAGGGUCGCAGAGGCCAGGGGGGAGCGACUGUUUACUAAAAACACAGGUCCGUGCGAAGCCGCAAGGCGAUGUAUACGGACUGACGCCUGCCCGGUGCUGGAAGGUCAAGAGGAUCCCUCAGCCCCCCGCGUGGGGGUGAAGGGGUGAGUUCAAGCCCCAGUAAACGGCGGUGGUAACUAUAACCAUCCUAAGGUAGCGAAAUUCCUUGUCGGGUAAGUUCCGACCUGCACGAAUGGCGUAACGACUCCCCCGCUGUCUCCACCACGGGCCCGGCGAAAUUGCAUUACGAGUAAAGAUGCUCGUUGCGCGCAGAAGGACGGAAAGACCCCGGGACCUUCACUGCAGCUUGGUAUUGGCGCCCGGUUCGGCUCGUGCAGGAUAGGUGGGAGACUGUGAGGCCGCCGCGUCAGCGGCGCGCGGAGUCGUCGUUGAGAUACCACUCCGGCCGUGUCGUGCGCCUGAACCUGGGCCCGUGAUCCGGGUCAGGGACAGUGCCUGGCGGGUAGUUCAACUGGGGCGGUUGCCUCCCAAAGGGUAACGGAGGCGCUCAAGGGUCCCCUCAGCCUGGUCGGCAACCAGGUGUCGAGUGCAAGUGCACAAGGGGGCUUGACUGCGAGACCGACGGGUCGGGCAGGUGCGAAAGCAGGAACUAGUGAUCCGGCGGCUCCGUGUGGACGGGCCGUCGCUCAACGGAUAAAAGGUACCCCGGGGAUAACAGGCUGAUCCUGCCCAAGAGUCCAUAUCGACGGCAUGGUUUGGCACCUCGAUGUCGGCUCGUCGCAUCCUGGGGCUGGAGCAGGUCCCAAGGGUUGGGCUGUUCGCCCAUUAAAGCGGUACGCGAGCUGGGUUUAGAACGUCGUGAGACAGUUCGGUCCCUAUCCUCUGCGCGCGCAGGAGACUUGAGGAGACCCGUCCCCAGUACGAGAGGACCGGGACGGACGGACCUCUGGUGCGCCAGUUGUCCCGCCAGGGGCACCGCUGGUUGGCCACGUCCGGGAAGGGUAACCGCUGAAGGCAUCUAAGCGGGAAACCACCUCCAAGACCAGGUCCCCGCACAACCCCCCCCGGGGGGUUGUGGAAGGCCCCCAGUGGACCACUGGGUCGAUAGGCCGGAGGUGCAAGCCCGGCAACGGGCUCAGCCGACCGGUACUAAUAGGCCGACACGAACCACACA